rnacentral:rRNA from 1 species
UCAGGAUGAACGCUGGCGGCGUGCUUAACACAUGCAAGUCGAACGAUGAACCUCACUUGUGGGGGGAUUAGUGGCGAACGGGUGAGUAACACGUGAGUAACCUGCCCUUGACUCUGGGAUAAGCCUGGGAAACUGGGUCUAAUACCGGAUAUGACCUUCCAUCGCAUGGUGGUUGGUGGAAAGCUUUUGUGGUUUUGGAUGGACUCGCGGCCUAUCAGCUUGUUGGUGGGGUAAUGGCCUACCAAGGCGACGACGGGUAGCCGGCCUGAGAGGGUGACCGGCCACACUGGGACUGAGACACGGCCCAGACUCCUACGGGAGGCAGCAGUGGGGAAUAUUGCACAAUGGGCGCAAGCCUGAUGCAGCGACGCCGCGUGAGGGAUGACGGCCUUCGGGUUGUAAACCUCUUUCAGUAGGGAAGAAGCGAGAGUGACGGUACCGCAG